GACGUAGGGAGCGAGCGUUGUCCGGAUUCAUUGGGCGUAAAGGGUCCGUAGGCGGCUCAGCAAGUCGGGUGUGAAAUCUCCAGGCUCAACCUGGAGGGGCCACCCGAUACUGCUGUGGCUUGAGUCCAGUAGGGGAGCAUGGAAUUCCCGGUGUAGCGGUGAAAUGCGCAGAUAUCGGGAGGAACACCAGUGGCGAAGGCGGUGCUCUGGGCUGGAACUGACGCUGAUGGACGAAAGCGUGGGUAGCAAACAGGAUUAGAUACCCUGGUAGUCCACGCCGUAAACGUUGGGCACUAGGUGUGGGGACUUAUCGACGGUCUCCGUGCCGUAGCUAACGCAUUAAGUGCCCCGCCUGGGGAGUACGGCCGCAAGGCUAAA
rnacentral:rRNA from 1 species